rnacentral:rRNA from 1 species
AUUGAACGCUGCGGCAGGCUUAACACAUGCAAGUCGAGCGAGCGGCGGACGGGUGAGUAAUGCUUAGGAAUCUGCCUAUUAGUGGGGGACAACAUCUCGAAAGGAAUGCUAAUACCGCAUACUAAUAAAUGAGCCUAAGUUGGAUUAGCUAGUUGGUGGGGUAAAGGCCUACCAAGGCGACGAUCUGUAGCGGGACUGAGCGGAUGAUCCGCCAACCUGGGAAUGAAAAACGGCCCAGAAUCCUACGGGAGGGAGCAGUUGGGAAUAUUGGGCAAUGGGGGGAACCCUGAUCCAGCCAUGCCGCGUGUGUGAAGAAGGCCUUAUGGUUGUAAAGCCCUUUAAGAGAGGAAGCGUUACUCACAGAGUAAGCACCGGCUAACUACGUGCCAGCAGCCGCGGUAAUAC